GACGAAGGUGGCUAGCGUUGCUCGGAUUUACUGGGCAUAAAGCGCGCGUAGGUGGUCGUGUAAGCGGGGGAUGAAAGCCCAUGGCUCACCCAUGGAACUGUCCCCCGGACUGCACGGCUCGAGGAAGGAAGGGGAGAAUGGAAUUCCCGGUGUAGCGGUGAAAUGCGUAGAUAUCGGGAGGAACGCCGGUGGCGAAAGCGAUUCUCUGGUCCUCUCCUGACACUGAGGCGCGAAAGCUAGGGGAGCAAACAGG
rnacentral:rRNA from 1 species